rnacentral:rRNA from 1 species
UACGUAGGGUGCGAGCGUUAAUCGGAGUUACUGGGCGUAAAGCGCACGCAGGCGGUCAGAUCAGUCUGGAGUGACAGUCGUCGGCUUAACCCGACGAAGUGUUCUGGAAACUGUCUGACUUGAGGGCUUCAGAGGGACACGGAAUUCCGGGUGGAGUGGUGAAAUGCGUAGAUAUCCGGAGGAACACCAAUGGCGAAGGCAGUGUCCUGGGAAGUACCUGACGCUCAGGUGCGAAAGCUAGGGGAGCGAACAGG